rnacentral:other from 1 species
UUAAUUCUGCUAUGCCCGUGAUGGAAAUUAUUAUUUUUGACCAACACCAAUGUGAAAGGGAUCCUGGACUUCAACUGCGGCGUAGAAGCCUCCUUUGAGAGGACCUACAAACCAGUUGAGAGGGAACCCACUUGGAGGAGAGGGAUCAAAAAUAAAGUUCCACACGGCAUAGCGGAUAUUAU